rnacentral:rRNA from 1 species
UACGUAGGUGGCGAGCGUUGUCCGGAUUUACUGGGCGUAAAGGGCUUGUAGGCGGUCCGUUAAGUCCGAUGUGAAAUCUCCCGGCUCAACUGGGAGAGGUCAUUGGAUACUGGCGGACUAGAGGGGGGUGGAGGAAAGCAGAAUUCCUGGUGUAGCGGUGAAAUGCGUAGAUAUCAGGAGGAAUACCAGUGGCGAAGGCGGCUUUCUGGGCCUACCCUGACGCUGAGGAGCGAAAGCGUGGGGAGCAAACCGG